rnacentral:lncRNA from 1 species
GUAGUGCCUGCCUCCCCCACGCCAGUCCUCUGUGGGAGGGUUGCUGGUCUCUGUUAAAAGCCCCCCGGGUGACGUGCAUGCUGCCAGGGCCUGUGCCCCCGGUAGACACUCUGGGGAGGGGCCACCACAAGGAAACCUCAGUCCAAGCUGUCCAGCGGAGGCUGGGCAUGGCUGUGCCAGCACAGGAAGGCAGGUAGGGGUCUCUGGGGCAGGCAGCUCUCCCCCUGGCCCAGCCCCCUGUGUGAAGUGCUCAGCCUGGGUAGGAACGUGCUUCCCACUCAGCCUCCUCCAAGCCGCUGGAGGUCCCACUGGUUCCCCAAAUGGCUUCUGUCCUGAGCCGUGGGCUCCUGACCACGCAUCUACCUUGCACGGUCUGAACAAGAGUCUGCGCCAGGGACCCCGAUCGGGAGGGGCACAGAGGAAGCCAAGGGCCCACACAGGUGAGGGGGUCUCGGGUCUGAGCCUCACCCAGCCCAGGCUCAGCAGCAGCCUCAGAAUUUCCUGGCAUCUGCUUGCCUGUGUUGCAACCCAAGUGGGAUGUGCACGCCGCCUGAGAGAGAAAACACUCGGGGAGGAUUAUGUAAGCGCUUUCCUCCCCAGCACAGGGCCGUCCUGGGCACAUUGAGGCCAGACCAUGUGCAAAAGCACUCGGGAGAGUGGCAGGAGCUGAGCCACCAGAGGGGGAUUAACCCCUUCCGGGAUGCUGGCAGCUUGUCCUGGGGAACAUGGGGCUGGUCAGGAUUGCAGGACACGGAGGGGCGGAGUGUGAAUGUGGAGGCACCGGUGCUGCGUGAUUUUCCACAAGUUGUCUAACCUCUCUGUGCCUUCAUUGCCUGACUCGGCUGUUUCCAAUGCAACUGAUUUUAACGGCACCUGUUUCAUGAGGCCACAGCCAGGAUUCUGGGAGGCAAAGCACAGAAAGCCCUCAAUGCGGUUUCAGGCUCCAGGCAAGGCUCAGCUGACAGUAGCUGAAAACAGCAAUUUCAGCCGCAGAGUUGCCCGCCCUGUGCACCACAGAACGAACAAGGGUUUCCAGCUUUGCUCAGAUUUGUGGGGACCACUGGGUUUGGACUUUAGGAAAAGCUCAUUUGCCUUUAGGCAGAAGUGACCGGAGCUGGGGUCACCUGAGGUCUGGGCAGGAACCUCUCGAUGGCUGAUGCAGGACCUGGGGAGGGGCCAUCUGUGUGGGGCAGCUCUGGACUCAGACCCGUGGAUACCUGUGAAACCUGUCAGGCUGAGCCACCAUCCAGCAAGUGAAGAGACCGCAACUGGGCCACUGUGGAGUCACUUGGCCACCACCCCCGGGUCCUCAUAGCCCUCAUGUGUGUCCCAACCGCGAGCAGGUGGCCGACAGUGCACCCUGACAAGGCACGUGUGUACCAUCGGGGACACCUGCUUCUUUAAAGUGACCGGAUGGUGCCCAGGACCACAAGAACCAGCCUCGUGGCAGGGUGCCCAGCCUCCUUCCCCCUCCACUGUUAACUUUUUUGCCAAGAUUCCAAAAACGAAGCUGCAGCUGAAAAUAAUUUCUUUUUCUUCUAUAGCCCAAAUGACCGAUGGUGUAGAGAUUUUCCCAUCAUAGAACUGCAGUCUCCAUUUGUAGUAGGCCCAGACAGUGACAUGUCUGAGGUUGGGGUGCCUUGGGGCCAGAGCCCAGAGGAGAACCCACAUUGGCGUCCUAGUAAUGUGAACCCUCAUAAGAGCUUCAGGACAGCAGAGGCAGUGGAGAUGCCGGCGGGCAGGGAGAGCCGGCCCGGCCAGCCCCCUGGGAAUAAGCUUCAGUCCUAUUCUAACUCAAAAUCAUAAACCUCAUCUCAGGCGGCUGCUUGUGACUCCAAGAGACCACCAGGCCCCGGUGAUAGCCAGCACAGUACCUGGCACAUAAAUCCUGCCCACCUGCCUGGCGUGGCUGGGAGACCCGCCCGGGUGCUCUCUGUCUCUCCCUCCCUCUUUCACUGCUCCCUGAAGGCAGCGUCUAAAGAGGCUGAGGCUGUCCUGUCACUGCCCCGACCUCUGAGGAGAAGCCCGCGGCUGUCCUGUCACUGCCCCGACCUCUGCGGAGAAGCCCGCAGUUCUGAUCACGGACCUCAGAUGGGGAAGCGCACAGGAGGCCUCGGGUGGCCGGGCUGUGCUGCUUCUCCCUAGACGGGCAGAGCUGGCGCAUAGGAGGUGCUUCACAGGUGACUAAGGAGGCAAAGACCCGAAGCCUGGGGGACUGCAGUGUCCGGUGGAUCCCAGCUGCGGCCAUCGGGCCCAUGGGUGGGAGAGCCAAGGGAGGGGCUCAGCUGGGCAAUAGGAUGGGAGUGGGCGGGGGACACUGCUGGGAACUCCCUUCACUGCAUGGCCAAGACUGUGCAUAAGCGAACAGGGCGGGAGAGCUGUGUGUCGCCUCGGGCAGUCACUCAGCCUCUCCGCCCGUUUUCCUGGUCUGUAAAAUGGGCCGAAAUGCCCUCCCUGCGCUGUUCUUUGGGCAGUUUCUAUAAAUGCUUGGCCCAGCCUCCCCGGCACACGGUUGCUACCUGGAUCACUGUUCUGUUAUUUUCAUCCCUGCCCCUGCUCUUUGCUUAGACCGACUUCCCCUGACUCCGGUGAAAUCAGCCUCCACAGGCAUUUCAUCAGCCCUUGUUCGUCCACAACACGGCUAGGCAGGUGUGCUCAGGGGGUCUGAGGCUUUCACAGACGUUAAAUGUAUGUCCCUGCAGGAAACAGGUUUCUGUACAGCCCCAGAGACUGUACAGAAGGCUGAGGCCAUCUCUACUAAAAAUACAAAAAAAUUAGCCGGGUGUGGUGGCAGUUUUUCUUUGUGACAAGAUAUAGGUAAGAUUUCUGAAAGACAGGAGCUAGUAACAUGUUCUAUUUCUUCUGAUAGCAGUUUUUUCCUAGUAAUUUGUCAAUUGCAUUUAACGUUUCCCACUGACUUUUGAGACAGCCUCAAGUUUUUAUGUCUGAAGGGUUCGUAGAUUCUGACAUUGUAAUUUGUCCCUGCUCUCUUUUCUCUGACUAGUGUACCAGGGCUUUCUCAAGUGUACUAAUCUUCUCAAAGAAUCCAAUUUGGUUUUGUUGGUUGUAUCUACUCUACGUUUUGUGCCUCAUUUCCUUAAUUUUUCCUUGUCUUUAAGCUUUUCUCUAAUACAACUGUCGAUGUAUUCCCCGAGUUUUGAUCAAUUUGCAUGUGUCAUUCAGUUACAAAUACCUUCACAUGUCCAGUUUUCUUUCUUAUCUGACCUAGGGGUUAUUUAAAUGUUUGUUAUUUAACUCCCAAUCAUUCAGGGAUUUUUCUACUUUUCUUCUCAUUAAUUUUUGCCUUAAUUCCAUUUGGUCACAAAACACAUUCUGCAAGCCCCCAUCCUGUGGCAUUGAGGUGGCUUCACAGUCUAGUGGGUGGCAAUUUGGAGAAAAGCGUGUUCCCUGAGGUUGCUGGGCGUGACAUUCCUCACACGUGACUUGGGUCACCUCAGUCUCCCGAGUUGCUGGGAUUACAGGCCUAAGCCACUGUACCACGCUAAAGAUUAAAAAGUUAUAAAAACAUGAUCUAACAAAAAAUACCCAGGGGUAAAAAUAAAUUGGCAUUAAAAUUUUCUUCCUAAUAAUCUAAUGAAAUAAGCAAAACUGAAAAUAAAACCAACUCUCCAAAUAACCACUGCACCAGAGAAACAGGACUAACCUAAUGUAAC